CCUGGUUGAUCUUGCUAGUAAUGAUAUGCUUAUCUCAAAGAUUAAGCCAUGCAUGUGUAAGUAUGAACUAAUUCAAAUUGUGAAAAUAUGAAUGGCUCAUUAAAUCAGUUAUAGUUUGUUUGAUGCUAUCUACUACUUAGAUAACCAUAAUAAUUCUAGAGCUAAUAUGUGCAACAAACCCUGACUUUUAAAAGGGAUGCAUUUAUUAGAUAAAAGGUCGAUGUGAGUUUUCCAUGUUGCUUUGAUGAUUCAUGAUAACUCAACGGUUCGUAAGGUUUUUGUGCUGGCAAUACAUCAUUUAAAUUUUUGCCCUAUCAACUUUUGAUAUUAGGAUAGUGGCCUACUAUGAUGGUGAUAGGUAACAGAGAAUUAGGGUUUGAUUUUAGAAAGGGAGCUUAAGAAAUAGCUAACACAUCCAAGGAAAGCAAUAGGCACGUAAAUUACCCAAUCCUAACAUGGAGAGAUAGUAAUAAUAAAUAACAAUAUCAGGCUUUAUGAGUCUAGUAAUUAGAAUAUGUACAAUCUAAAUCCUUUAAUAAAGAUCCAUUGGAAGGUAAGUCUGGUGCUAGUAGCCAUGGUAAUUCCAGCUCCAAUAGUUUAUAUUUAAGUUGUUGCAAUUAAAAAGCUUGUAGUUAAAACUAGGGUUGGGCCAUUCAAUCUAUCUCACGGUGAGCACCGAUCUAUUUAUCCUUACUAUCGGGGAUGCACUCCAAGCCUUAACUGGCCAAGUCAUUCCUCUGGUACUGUUACUUUGAAAAAAUUAAAGUACUCAAAGUAAGCCUACAUUUGUAUACAUUAGCAUAGGAUAAUAUCAUAGGAUUUCAGUCCUAUUGUGUUGGCAUUCAGGAUUAAAGUAAUGAUUAACAGGGACAAUCGAGGGCAUUCAUAUUUCAUAGUCAGAGGUGAAAUUCUUGGAUUUAUGAAAGACAAACAAAUGUGAAAACAUUUGCCAAAAAUGUUUUCAUUAAUUAAGAAUGAAAGUUAAGGGCUCGAAAACUAUUAGAUAUAGUCCUAGUCUCAACCAUAAAUAAUGACAACCAGGGAUCAAUGGAUAUUACUUUUAGGACUUUGCUGGCACUUUAUGAGAAAUCAAAGUCUUUGGGUUUUAGGGGGUAUGGUCGUACGACUGAAACUUAAUAGAAUUGAUGAAAGGGCACCACCAGGAGUGGAGCUUGUAGCUUAAUUUGACUCAAUACGAGGAAACUUACUAGGUCUAAACAUAGUAAAGAUUGACAACCAUAAAUGAUGCUAAUCAGGGAUUAAUGGAUAUAACUUCUUUUGUUGUGAAAAACCAAAAUAAACCUCAACAAUGGAUAUCUUGGCUUUCUUAUCAAUGAAGAACGUAACAAAAUGUGAUACUUGGUGUGAAUUAUAGAAUCUUGUGAACCAUUGAGUCUUUGUACACAAGUUGCUCCCUAAGCAUUAGGCUGAGAGGCAUGCCUACCAUGGUGUCCGCAUCAUUACCCCCUUCACCCUCUCACUCAUCGAGCUCUGGAUAAAUGGGCAGAAGAUAGCCUCCCAUGAUCUCGUUAGUCAUGGUUGGGCUUGCCUUGUCU
rnacentral:rRNA from 1 species